CUUGCAGCAGGAUGCCCUGGGAGCUGCUGAUGUUGGAGGAAAACGCGUCGAUGGAUCAAACCAUUUGAGCCUCAGCAUCACGUCUCUUUACUGGGAUUUAAUGGAUCAGCUGCACAAAACCAGACAAAGAAGAAGAGAUAACGGCACAAAGCUCAACUCACCACUUUCCUCCUCUGGAAGAAGGAGGUGAAGUCUUCAGCUGUCACGGUCUGAACCAACGGAACCAACACACCCCAGGAAAACAGGCGGCGCCAUCUUGUGAAUUUGGAUCCUGAGUCUGCGCAGUAUGGUCCGAGGGCGGAGCCACGGCAUCGACGCCCCGCCC